AGGAAAGAGAGAGGAAGGAGGAAUACAGGAAAGGUGAUGGGAAGCAGGACUGUAGCAAUAUAGUUGAUGGAGAACGGCAAAAGGGUGUGGAACACGUAAGUAAAAUACACAAAACUGGGGGAUAGCCCGGGGAAACCCGGAUUAAUACCUCGUAACCUUUUUAAGUGGCAUCACUUGAUAAGUAUAGCUCCGGCGGUUUUGGAUGGGCGUGCGCCUGAUUAGGUAGUUGGUGCGGGUAACGGCCCACCAAGCCUGCGAUCAGUAACUGGUGUGAGAGCACGACCAGUCACACGGGCACUGAGACACGGGCCCGACUCCUACGGGAGGCAGCAGUAAGGAAUAUUGGUCAAUGGACGCAAGUCUGAACCAGCCAUGCCGCGUGAAGGAUGAAGGUCCUCUAGAUUCUCCCCUUCUUUUAUAGGGGACGAAACCCGGAUAUUCUUAUCCGAUUGACGGUACCUCAGGAAUAAGCACCAACUCACUCCGUG
rnacentral:rRNA from 1 species